UUGAUGAACGCUAGCUACAGGCUUAACACAUGCAAGUCGAGGGGCAGCAUGGUCUUAGCUUGCUAAGGCCGAUGGCGACCGGCGCACGGGUGAGUAACACGUAUCCAACCUGCCGUCUACUCUUGGACAGCCUUCUGAAAGGAAGAUUAAUACAAGAUGGCAUCAUGAGUCCGCAUGUUCACAUGAUUAAAGGUAUUCCGGUAGACGAUGGGGAUGCGUUCCAUUAGAUAGUAGGCGGGGUAACGGCCCACCUAGUCUUCGAUGGAUAGGGGUUCUGAGAGGAAGGUCCCCCACAUUGGAACUGAGACACGGUCCAAACUCCUACGGGAGGCAGCAGUGAGGAAUAUUGGUCAAUGGGCGAGAGCCUGAACCAGCCAAGUAGCGUGAAGGAUGACUGCCCUAUGGGUUGUAAACUUCUUUUAUAAAGGAAUAAAGUCGGGUAUGGAUACCCGUUUGCAUGUACUUUAUGAAUAAGGAUCGGCUAACUCCGUGCCAGCAGCCGCGGUAAUACGGAGGAUCCGAGCGUUAUCCGGAUUUAUUGGGUUUAAAGGGAGCGUAGAUGGAUGUUUAAGUCAAGUUGGGAAAUUUGCGGCUCACCCGUAAAUUGCAGAUGGUACUGGAUAUCUUGAGUGCAGUUGAGGCAGGCGGGAUUUGUGGUGUAGCGGUGAAAUGCUUAGAUAUCAGGAAGAACUCCGAUUGGGAAGGCAGCCUGCUAAGCUGCAACUGACAUUGAGGCUCGAAAGUGUGGGUAUCAAACAGGAUUAGAUACCCUGGUAGUCCACACGGUAAACGAUGAAUACUCGCUGUUUGCGAUAUACUGCAAGCGGCCAAGCGAAAGCGUUAAGUAUUCCACCUGGGGAGUACGCCGGCAACGGUGAAACUCAAAGGAAUUGACGGGGGCCCGCACAAGCGGAGGAACAUGUGGUUUAAUUCGAUGAUACGCGAGGAACCUUACCCGGGCUUAAAUUGCAGAUGAAUUACGGUGAAAGCCGUAAGCCGCAAGGCAUCUGUGAAGGUGCUGCAUGGUUGUCGUCAGCUCGUGCCGUGAGGUGUCGGCUUAAGUGCCAUAACGAGCGCAACCCUUGUUGUCAGUUACUAACAGGUUCCGCUGAGGACUCUGACAAGACUGCCAUCGUAAGAUGUGAGGAAGGUGGGGAUGACGUCAAAUCAGCACGGCCCUUACGUCCGGGGCUACACACGUGUUACAAUGGGGGGUACAGAGGGCCGCUACCACGCGAGUGGAUGCCAAUCCCCAAAACCUCUCUCAGUUCGGACUGGAGUCUGCAACCCGACUCCACGAAGCUGGAUUCGCUAGUAAUCGCGCAUCAGCCACGGCGCGGUGAAUACGUUCCCGGGCCUUGUACACACCGCCCGUCAAGCCAUGGGAGCCGGGGGUACCUGAAGUGCGUAACCGCGAGGAGCGCCCUAGGGUA
rnacentral:rRNA from 1 species